rnacentral:rRNA from 1 species
UUCGCCCUUUUCCGGUUGAUCCCGCCGGACCCGACUGCUAUCAGAGUGAGAUUAAGCCAUGCGAGUUAACGUAGCAAUACGUGGCGCACGGCUCAGUAACACGUAGUCAACAUGCCCAGAGGACGUGGAUAACCUCGGGAAACUGAGUCUAAAUCGCGAUAAGUGAGGAUUUCUGGAAUGGUUCCUGACUAAAAUCUAUAUGGCCUCUGGAUUGGACUGCGGCCGAUCAGGCUGUUGGUGAGGUAAUGGCCCACCAAACCUGUAACCGGUACGGGCUCUGAGAGGAGGAGCCCGGAGAUGGGCACUGAGACAAGGGCCCAGGCCCUAUGGGGCGCAGCAGGCGCGAAACCUCUGCAAUAGGCGAAAGCCUGACAGGGUUACUCUGAGUGACUUUCGCUAAGAAAGUCUUUUGGCACCUCUAAAAAGGGUGCAGAAUAAGGGGUGGGCAAGUCUGGUGUCAGCCGCCGCGGUAAUACCAGCACCCCGAGUGGUCGGGACGAUUAUUGGGCCUAAAGCAUCCGUAGCCGGUUCUGCAAGUCCCCCGUUAAAUCCAGCUGCUCAACAGAUGGGCCGCGGAGGAUACUACAGAGCUAGGAGGCAGGAGAGGCAAGCGGUACUCAGUGGGUAGGGGUAAAAUCCGUUGAUCCA